CGGGUGCGUAACACGUAUACAAUCUGCCUCCAACAUGGGGAUAGCCCGGAGAAAUUCGGAUUAAUACCCAGUAACAAAUUUUAUGGCAUCAUAAGAUUUUGAAAGCUACGGCGGUUGGAGAUGAGUAUGCGUCUGAUUAGCUAGUAGGUGAGGUAACGGCUCACCUAGGCUACGAUCAGUAGGGGAUCUGAGAGGACUACCCCCCACACUGGUACUGAGACACGGACCAG
rnacentral:rRNA from 1 species